CAAGCUGUGAUGGGGAGGGAAAUAAUAGUACCGAAGUUCCUGAUGUCACACUGCCGAGAAAAGCUUCUAGUGAGAAAACAGCGGCCCGUACCGCAAACCGACACAGGUAGUCGAGGAGAGAAUCCUAAGGUGAGCGAGAGAACUCUCGUUAAGGAACUCGGCAAAAUGACCCCGUAACUUCGGGAGAAGGGGUGCUGAUCAUACGAUCAGCCGCAGUGAAUAGGCCCAAGCGACUGUUUAUCAAAAACACAGGUCUCUGCAAAAUCGUAAGAUGAAGUAUAGGGGCUGACGCCUGCCCGGUGCUGGAAGGUUAAGAGGAGUGCUUAGCGCAAGCGAAGGUACGAAUUGAAGC
rnacentral:rRNA from 1 species